UACGGAGGGGGCUAGCGUUGUUCGGAAUUACUGGGCGUAAAGCGCACGUAGGCGGAUCAGCAAGUUAGGGGUGAAAUCCCGGGGCUCAACCCCGGAACUGCCUUUAAAACUGUUGGUCUGGAGUCCGAGAGAGGUGAGUGGAAUUCCGAGUGUAGAGGUGAAAUUCGUAGAUAUUCGGAGGAACACCAGUGGCGAAGGCGGCUCACUGGCUCGGUACUGACGCUGAGGUGCGAAAGCGUGGGGAGCAAACAGG
rnacentral:rRNA from 2 species